rnacentral:rRNA from 1 species
GACGAACGCUGGCGGCGUGCUUAACACACGCAAGUCGAACGGAAAGGCCCUGCUUUUGUGGGGUGCUCGAGUGGCGAACGGGUGAGUAACACGUGAGUAACCUGCCCUUGACUUUGGGAUAACUUCAGGAAACUGGGGCUAAUACCGGAUAGGAGCUCCUGCUGCAUGGUGGGGGUUGGAAAGUUUCGGCGGUUGGGGAUGGACUCGCGGCUUAUCAGCUUGUUGGUGGGGUAGUGGCUUACCAAGGCUUUGACGGGUAGCCGGCCUGAGAGGGUGACCGGCCACAUUGGGACUGAGAUACGGCCCAGACUCCUACGGGAGGCAGCAGUGGGGAAUAUUGCACAAUGGGCGGAAGCCUGAUGCAGCAACGCCGCGUGCGGGAUGACGGCCUUCGGGUUGUAAACCGCUUUCGCCUGUGACGAACCGUGAGUGACGGUAAUGGGUAAAGAAGCACCGGCUAACUACGUG